rnacentral:rRNA from 1 species
ACUCAAAGGAAUAGACGGGGGCCCGCACAAGCGGUGGAGCAUGUGGUUCAAUUCGACGCAACGCGAAGAACCUUACCUGGGCUCGAAAUGCAGGAGACCGGGGUGGAAACAUCCCUUCCCCUUAAAAGGCUGCUGCAUAGGUGCUGCAUGGCUGUCGUCAGCUCGUGUCGUGAGAUGUUGGGUUAAGUCCCGCAACGAGCGCAACCCUUAUCCCUAGUUGCCAUCGGGUCAAGCCGGGCACUCUAGUGAAACUGCCUCGGAUAACGAGGAGGAAGGUGGGGAUGACGUCAAGUCCUCAUGGCCUUUAUGUCCAGGGCUACACACGUGCUACAAUGGUCGGUACAAACCGUCGCAAACCCGUGAGGGGGAGCUAAUCGGAAAAAGCCGGCCUCAGUUCGGAUUGGAGUCUGCAACUCGACUCCAUGAAGCUGGAAUCGCUAGUAAUCGCGGAUCAGAACGCCGCGGUGAAUACGUUCCCGGGCCUUGUACACACCGCCCGU